CUACACACACACACUCUCUUCCUUGCCUUCUCCCUCACGCCAUUUUCAUCUCCUAUCACACAAAAAUAUCUUCCAUUUUUCUACUCAAGAAAACAAGACCAAGAUUCCAUCUUUCUAUUUCACGAAGUUUAGGAGUGAAGAUUAAGUGGAUGGUGACAUGCUAAGAUGAACUAGGAGCUAGGAGCUUGGUGUGGUUUGCUAGCUAGAAAGGUAUGGUUAGUCGGUCCGAGAACGCGUUAGAUGGAGCCCCGGUUUAAACUAGCUUAUCUUUCUAGUUUUAGAUGUUCUGGCCUAUGAGCCAUUUUGGAUAAUGACGACUUUGGAUUUGUAGUUAACUUUCUUUUAGCCUGUGCAUCUAGGUUGAUGGCCUAGAUGUGACGUGA